rnacentral:rRNA from 1 species
CGUGUAGGCGGCCCGAUUAGUCCGCUGUGAAAGUCCAGGGCUCAACCCUGGAAUGCCGGUGGAUACUGUCGGGCUAGAGUCCGGAAGGGGCGAGUGGAAUUCCUGGUGUAGCGGUGAAAUGCGCAGAUAUCAGGAGGAACACCAAUGGCGAAGGCAGCUCGCUGGGACGUGACUGACGCUGAGACGCGAAAGCGUGGGAGCAAACA